AGCGAACGCUGGCGGCAGGCUUAACACAUGCAAGUCGAGCGGGCAUAGCAAUCUGUCAGCGGCAGACGGGUGCGUAACGCGUGGGAACGUACCGUUUGGUUCGGAACAGCACAGGGAAACUUGUGCUAAUACCGGAUAAGCCCUUACGGGGAAAGAUUUAGCGCCGAAAGAUCGGCCCGCGUCGGAUUAGCUAGUUGGUGAGGUAAUGGCUCACCAAGGCGACGAGCAGUAGCUGGUCUGAGAGGAUGAUCAGCCACAUUGGGACUGAGACACGGCCCAAACUCCUACGGGAGGGAGCAGUGGGGAAUACUGGACAAUGGGCGCAAGCCUGAAGGAGCCAUGACGGGUGAGCGAUGAAGGCCGUAGGGUUGUAAAGCUCUUUUGUGCGGGAAGAUAAUGACGGUACCGAAAGAAUAAGCCCCGGCUAACUUCGUG
rnacentral:rRNA from 1 species